rnacentral:lncRNA from 1 species
CCACAUUUUAUUUAAUAAAAUUUAAUUAUUUACAUUGUUUUUGUUGUUUAUAUUAACACCUUGGACAGUGUAUAUUUACACCUUUGGACCCUGUAAAUAAACACCUUUGGAGGGUGUACCCAUUCUAAGCCAAAGAUGUUUAAGAACAAUUAUCAAGGUAUUUGCAUGAUAAAAUAUAUUUAAAACUGCUCUCCAUAUACAUGUAAUGCAUGGUUCAAUUCUUGCUUUUAUCACGUAAACCCAGGGAUUUUCAAUGUCCCCCUCCUCCCAUAGAAUUCACUUGAAGUGACUGGGGCAAGGUAGCCAGGCCUUAAAAUAUCUUUUCCAGGGCCGUCUGACAAAAUGUCUGAUGACUUUGAGUUUGGGUCGGACAUAUGUCCGAUGACUUCAGUUCAGUUUGGGUCGGAAAUAAGUCUGAAUGACGCAAAUUAAUAUCAGCAUAAUGUAUUCA